rnacentral:tRNA from 2 species
GCCUCCGUGGUGGAACGGUAGACACACUGGUUUUAGGAACCAGUGCUGAAAGGCGUGUCGGUUCGAGUCCGACCGGAGGCA